GGUAUGGACCUUUCGGGGUUCAGAGAGUGGCGAACGGGUGAGUAACACGUAGGUAAUCUACCCUCAAGACGGGGACAACCCAGGGAAACUUGGGCUAAUACCGGAUGUGUGUAGUGGCUAUUUUUCUGAUUAUCAUUAUUUACGUAAGUGAGUAAUAAUAAGAAGGGAAAGUGGUUAUUACAUAAAAGGUGGCGUAAGCUGCCGCUUGGGGAUGAGCCUGCGUCCUAUUAGUUAGUUGGUGAGGUAACGGCUUACCAAGGCGAUGAUAGGUAGGCGGCCUUAACGGGUGGUCGCCCACACUGGGAUUGAGAUACGGCCCAGACUCCUACGGGAGGCAGCAGUCGAGAAUAGUCUACAAUGGACGGAAGUCUGAUAGUGCGACGCCGCGUGAACGAAGAAUCCCUUCGGGGUGUAAAGUUCUUUUAUACGUGAGCAGUGUCCUUUAUAUUAAUAGUAUAAGGGGAGAGAUAUUAGCGUAUGAAUAAGCAACGGCUAACUCUGUGCCAGCAGCCGCGGUAAUACAGAGGUCUCGAGCGUUGUUCGGAUUUACUGGGCGUAAAGGGAGCGUAGGCGGUUUGGUGUGUCGAAUGUGAAAGCCCGCAACUCAACUGCGGAAUGGCAUUCGAAACUACCAGGCUAGAGUACUGGAGAGGAGAGCGGAAUUCUUGGUGUAGCGGUGAAAUGCGUAGAUAUCAAGAGGAACACCGGUGGCGAAGGCGGCUCUCUGGACAGAUACUGACGCUGAGGCUCUAAAGUUAGGGGAGCAAACAGGAUUAGAUACCCUGGUAGUCCUAACUGUAAACGGUGUACACUUGGUGUGCGAGGAAUUGUCCCUUUGCGCGCCGAAGCUAACGCGAUAAGUGUACCGCCUGGGGAGUACGGUCGCAAGAUUAAAACUCAAAGGAAUUGACGGGGACCCGCACAAGCGGUGGAGCAUGUGGCUUAAUUCGAUGCAACGCGAAGAACCUUACCUGGACUUGACAUGCCAGUGGUAGAACCCUGAAAGGGGGACGAUCCCGCGCAAGCGGGAAGCUGGCACAGGUGCUGCAUGGCUGUCGUCAGCUCGUGCCGUGAGGUGUUGGGUUAAGUCCCGCAACGAGCGCAACCCCUGUGGUUAGUUGCCCUUAUUCAGUUAGGCACUCUAGCCAGACUGCCUGUGAUAAGCAGGAGGAAGGUGGGGAUGACGUCAAGUCAGUAUGGUCCUUAUGUCCAGGGCUGCACACGUGCUACAAUGACCAGUACAGAAGGAAGCAAUACCGCGAGGUGGAGCUAAUCCCCAACACUGGCCUCAGUUCGGAUUGGAGUCUGCAACCCGACUCCAUGAAGCUGGAAUCGCUAGUGACGGCGCAUCAGCUACGGCGCCGUGAAUACGUU
rnacentral:rRNA from 1 species